rnacentral:rRNA from 1 species
GACUGUGAUCAUACCAGCACUAAUGAACCGGAUCCCAUCAGAACCUCGUAGUUAAGCGUGCUUGGGUGAGAGUAGUACUGGGAUGGGUGACCUCCUGCGAAGUCCUCGUGUUGUAUCCC